rnacentral:rRNA from 1 species
CCCGUAGUUGACGACGUGUGUUCAGUGAAAUCGAGUAGGGCGGGACACGUGAUAUCCUGUCUGAAUAUGGGGGGACCAUCCUCCAAGGCUAAAUACUACUGACUGACCGAUAGUGAACCAGUACCGUGAGGGAAAGGCGAAAAGAACCCUUGUCCUGUGACUGCGUACCUUUUGUAUAAUGGGUCAGCGACUUAUAUUCAGUGGCAAGGUUAACCAUCUAGGGGAGCCGUAGGGAAACCGAGUCUUAACUGGGCGUUCAGUCUCUGGAUAUAGACCCGAAACCAGGUGAUCUAGCCAUGGGCAGGUUGAAGGUUGAGUAACAUCAACUGGAGGACCGAACCGACUAAUGUUGAAAAAUUAGCGGAUGACUUGUGGCUAGGGGUGAAAGGCCAAUCAAACCUGGAGAUAGCUGGUUCUCCCCGAAAGCUAUUUAGGUAGCGCCUCGGACGAAUACUACUGGGGGUAGAGCACUGUUAAGGCUAGGGGGUCAUCCCGACUUACCAACCCUUUGCAAACUCCGAAUACCAGUAAGUACUAUCCGGGAGACACACGGCGGGUGCUAACGUCCGUCGUGGAGAGGGAAACAACCCAGACCGCCAGCUAAGGUCCCAAAUUACUACUAAGUGGGAAACGAUGUGGGAAGGCUCAGACAGCCAGGAUGUUGGCUUAGAAGCAGCCAUCAUUUAAAGAAAGCGUAAUAGCUCACUG